UACGGGGGGAGCAAGCGUUGUUCGGAUUUACUGGGCGUAAAGGGCGCGUAGGCGGCCUCCGCAAGUCGACUGUGAAAUCUCCGGGCUUAACCCGGAAAGGCCAGCCGAAACUGCGGGGCUAGAGUGCAGAAGGGGCAACUGGAAUUCUCGGUGUAGCGGUGAAAUGCGUAGAUAUCGAGAGGAACACCUGCGGCGAAGGCGGGUUGCUGGGCUGACACUGACGCUGAAGCGCGAAAGCUAGGGGAGCGAACGGG
rnacentral:rRNA from 1 species